UACGUAGGGCGCAAGCGUUAUCCGGAAUUAUUGGGCGUAAAGAGCUCGUAGGCGGUUUGUCGCGUCUGCCGUGAAAGUCCGGGGCUCAACUCCGGAUCUGCGGUGGGUACGGGCAGACUAGAGUGAUGUGGGGGAGACUGGAAUUCCUGGUGUAGCGGUGAAAUGCGCAGAUAUCAGGAGGAACACCGAUGGCGAAGGCAGGUCUCUGGGCAUUAACUGACGCUGAGGAGCGAAAGCGUGGGGAGCGAACAGG
rnacentral:rRNA from 1 species